rnacentral:lncRNA from 1 species
AAAGUUUGAUUCCCAGGACUGCAGUGACACAUCUGUCCACAUAGGCCUGGAAUUAUGGUGAGCAAGGUAGGGAUACAGAUUGACUUCCUUCUAGGAACUUAAAAUCUAAUGGCUCACCUAACAGACUUGCUUCUGCCAACACACACACACUCCUUUCUAGCUAUUGUGGAGACUGAAUCUUUCCUUCUUGGGCUAUCUUUGAAACCUGAGGUGUCUUGUCUCCCCACCUAGUAAACAGUUUGCUUGUGUGGGUUCCUCCUCCUUCCCUCCCUCACCCUCCUGAAGAUGUCCCCUCUGGGCAUUUCUUUCACAGAAAUUUGAGUUCCAUUGCUCUAAAGCAAGUAUAUGUACAGGAAAAACAGGAGGGGGAAAUGGCCUUUGAGGUUGUUGAAUAUUGCAUUUUUCCAUAGUUUGGAAAAAUUUGAACAAAACUACUAGCUAUUAUUGGGUUAGAAUAGUGAUUAUCAAACUGUAAGUUCUCCAUGAAAUCAC